CCUGCCUUUGGUACGAUGAUUACAUCGUGACCAUUUCUUUGCUAUAUCUACGUAUCUUUUCCGGUGCUGUUGGACGAGUGAUAUCAAGUGUGAUUAAUGGUAAAAAACUUGUGCUUCAUUUGUGAGAUAUAAAAGGUUUCUUUGCGUUUCAUGACAAAAAAUAUGCCAAGCUUCUAUCUUUUCAAAAUCACUCGUGGAUUGGAAUGAUACCUUCCUGAUUGUAAGUUUUGGCGAAGGUAUGAAACUUGAUAAAUCUGAUAGUAGUAAUGAAAAUGUUUAAAGGAAAUCGCAUUUCCGACGGUCUAAAAUAUAAAAUUUUCCAAGGGGGAAUCCUCCCAGACCCCCUACAGAGCUAGCGCCUUUGGCGCUCGCAGUGGUGCACCAGUCACGAAAAUUGCUGGAUCCGCCCCUGCAAAUACCAAUUUCAAAACUGCCAAAAAAAGCUUCAAAAUGACCAUGUUUUUUGCAUAAAUAGCCAAAUUAUUAGUGGGCAGGAAUUUGCUGUGUAAUUUGCAAAUGAAUCACAAGAAACAAACCAAAAUUUACAAAAACACUUCACACAAAAACUUUUAGGAAUGACAAUACAUUAUAUGUGUAUUAAACUAAGUAUAAGAUAUCUGAUCAUAAUACUAGUCACAUGAUCUGGUAAGCACUUCUUAUUGUAUUGCACUAUCUUAUUGUUAUUUAAUCUCUUAUUAUGUUCUGCUCGAUACCACAUGGUUUUGGACAACACUUAUUAUGUAGCUUGUAUUAAUAAAUAUAUCUUGUUUUGUUCCUGCACAUUUGAAUAAUAAAUGAACAAAAAUUUGG